CUACGGAAUUAAUUGGAUUGAGCCUUAGUAUGGAAACCUACUAAGUGAUAACUUUCAAAUUCAGAGAAACCCUGGAAUGAAAAAUGGGCAAUCCUGAGCCAAAUCCUAUUAUUUUAUUAUUUUACGAAAAUAAACAUGAACAAAGGUUCAGCAAGCGAGAAUAAUAAAAAAAUGAAAAGAUAGGUGCAGAGACUCAAUGGAGGCUAUUCUAACAAAUGGGGUUGACUGUUGGUAAAGGAAUCCUUAUGUCGAAUAUCAAAACUCUAGAAAGGAUGCAAGAUAUACCUAUUUUUUUUAUAGGUACAC
rnacentral:ncRNA from 1 species